rnacentral:rRNA from 1 species
UGGCGGACGGGUGAGUAAUGUCUGGGAAACUAGCCUGAUGGAGGGGGAUAACUACUGGAAACGGUAGCUAAUACCGCAUAACGUCGCAAGACCAAAGAGGGGGACCUUCGGGCCUCUUGCCAUCGGAUGUGCCCAGAUGGGAUUAGCUAGUAGGUGGGGUAACGGCUCACCUAGGCGACGAUCCCUAGCUGGUCUGAGAGGAUGACCAGCCACACUGGAACUGAGACGCGGUCCAG